rnacentral:lncRNA from 1 species
CGGGAAGACCUCCUAAAGCCCCCCGAAACAGUGCCCUCCUGUCGGGCCAAGAAAGUCCGAAAUUUUUCUAAGUGUCGAGACUGGUUGGUCACGAGUGAGGAAAGCCAGUGUUUUUGAGAAAUUUGAGAGACAAAUGAGGAAAAUAUUGACUUUUAACCCAGACUAAAAUACAUAUAGUUUGGCGUGGUGUCAAUUUUUCCAACAAAAUACGUCUUGAAGUCUAAUGUUAGAGCUCAACGAAAACCUUCGUUGUCAGUUCGUUUUUUUUGCAGAUCUCAUUUCCAGUUGAAGAAGCCAACUUCCACAGGCCCCCGAGGAUAAUUUGUCGGUUUCAUCGGCCAAGGACCACUUGAAAAAGAAACUAGGAAGAAAGGUAAGCAUCCUAGAUGUAUUUAUUUUCGAGUUUGAGCAUGUUUUGAUCAUGAAAAUCAAGAGGAAAACCGGCCCGGAAAACUGAUUUCUGAGGUUGAAAUUUUUGUAAGUGUUUGAAAUCUCUUCAAGAGUGUUGCACGUGUGCUUCUUGGAGAGGUCGUUUUGAUGUUGUUCGGUGGGUCAUUCUCUGUGAUGUUUAUUGCAUUUGAAAGCUCAUGUUACCUACUUUCAUUCGGAUCAAGUAAUGUUUCCCUUAGAUCUCGUAUGUGAUAGGUGUUGGGGCUUGAAUAUGGGCACUCAACCUGUUUGCUUGACUUGGGUUCAAACCCAGAUUUGCAAAAUCAGAUCAAACCCGCAUAUUUGAUGACGAUUCCAGCUUGUUUUUCGUGUGUUUUAAGCUGUGUUUUUUUAUCUAUCUUACUCCUUGCGUGUUUUAGUUUAACCUUGAUGUUUUAGUUCCACAUAAUAUUGCUCAUGAGUUGAGAUUGAAGACCGCAAACAUGGCCCGAGGAAGCUGAUUGGGGCUAGUUUAAUGCACACCAAGUGUUUGACAAAAUGCUCAAACUAAGCUUCGAUCUUGAAACGGUCGAUUUGAGCUUGAUUAUUGUGAUAUUCAUGUGCUGUGUUACUCCAUGUUAGCAUAGAUCGGUUUAAGGAAUUAUUAUUAUUAUUUUUUAAAAAUAAUUAAAAAAGAGAAAAAUAUGAAAAUUUCAAAAAUAUCAAAAAAAUGUUAGAUGGCAUCAAAUUAGGAUAUAAAUGACAUAUAUGAAAUUUUCCUAAUUUUAAAAGGUCAUUUUCCUAAUUUAAUGCUAUUUUGGUAUUUUAUAACCAUUUUUGUAAAUAAUCCAUUUUGUGUAGAUUAAAAUUAUUUAGAGUUAUUUCAUGCAUCUAGAGUAAUUUCAUGCAUAUUUAUAUUUCCAUUUCGCUCACGGGGGUCCUGUCCCGGGGCGUGAUAACAAGGCCAUGUAAUAUUAUUUGCCCGACUUGUAUCGGGUCUUUCUUUUCCGCAUUACUUUCAAGUCAUUUCAAUUUCUUAAAUAUUUACUUGCGCACCGCUUUUCAUUAAUUUGAGUUUAAAUUUCUCUUCUAAAUUAUGUUAGGAUUAGUUUAGACAUUAAGGAAAACAAACCUACAAAAACAUUUGCAUGGACGCUUAGCGGUUUUAUAAAGAUUAUAAUUGGUAAUCAAGAUUGUGUGGCCAUUUAGAUGAACAACCUUUUAAGUUAGUGGUACCGCAAGGGCGUUAAUAGAAACAUUAGCGUAAACAAGUCCCCGUUCCUAGAAAUCUCUGGUUGCGUAGGAAUCGUGACAACACUCCCGUGUCUCGAUUGGUUUCUAGCCGACCCCAAUAGGCUAGUGGCGACUCCUAAAAAUAUUUAGGUUGUUAAGAACUGAAAAGAAAAUCCAACGUCGCGCGAGGUAUGGGCUUGGGAGAGCCUGUGUCUAAUUUAGGGCCAUUGGUCAGCCUCUUUAGGCAAAUACCCCUAAACCUUCUUCCUUUUCCCCCGGACGGAAAAAAGAGGUCGUGACAGUUAGCGUAUGCAAAGAACUGAUUUCCGCUAUUCCAUGUGGCGAAUAGCUAAGUUUAGAACAUAAACUUAUGUCUAGAUUCCGAAGGCUGACUAACUUCUUUAUAUCACUUGGCAACUCUUUGAGGGCAUCACAAUAUUGGAGAUUAAGUGUUUGCAAGCUCUGCAAUUUCGUAAUGGAGUUAGGAAGCCUUUUGAGUGUGCAGUUAUCAGAGAGAUCGAGAUAAGUGAGAUACUUUAACUUAUAAAUGGACCGUGGCACCUUCUCGACCUUUAUGCCUUGUAGAUCCAAGAUGCGCAAUCUCUUGAAAUUUAGAAUUAAUUGGCGUACAUCCACUUCACUUAUUGGUUCUAUUUGUUGUCUUUCUUUUCAAUAUGUAGUAGUAGAUAGAAAUGUUCUCAGUGCACUUGCUUUCAAGCGUAAGAUUGGAAGUUCAUCCAUCAAAUUGAAAGUCGAACCAUAGGAUAUAUGAAGAGUUCUUUCAUUUAUGAUAUUUGUGUCAUCCCUUGCCACCCGACACCUGUUCCUUGCAACUAAGCAGGCUAGAUCAUGCAUCAAAUCAUGCAUCUUGCAAGUUUCCUCCUUCGUGUAUGGAUCUUUUUUAAAAUCUUGGAAGAAGUUACUCCAACAUAGAUCCAUGAAAUAUUCAUGAGCAAUGUCUUCUAGAAGCUUACCUGAAUUUGAUGGCUGGAUAAAUCCUUCUGCCAUCCAAAGAUAGACUAAAGUAUGCUUCUUUAUCUCAUAAUCUUUGGGAAACAAUGAACAAAUGGCGAAACAUUGUCUCAAAUGUGAAGGAAGAUCGUCAUAACUUAGCCUGAGAAUAGAUAUUAUUGGGUCUUCCAUUUGAGACACUUUUGGGAGCUCAACAUCUUUGAAAUGUAACCAUUCAUCUUUAGUUUCCUUAAAGAAUAAUAACCUCCCAAUAGUUCGAACAAUCAAUGGAACUCCAGAACACUUUCUAACUAUCUCUUUCCCAAUAGCUAGCAUGCUAGGAUCUUGUCUGGCCCCUUCUUUUCGACCGGCCGUUCGCAUCAACAAAUCAAGAGAAACACUUUCAGAUAAGCCCUUAAGAAGAAGAGGCAGAGCAGGGGAGGUGAUCUUUGCAACCAAAGGAAGGCGUGUAGUUAUAAGGAUCUUGCUUCCUCUAGCACCUCCCAUCAAUAAUGAUUUCAAGUUGUGCCAUGUUUCUGAUUGUGCAUCCUACAAAUCAUCCAAAACUAAGAGAUAUCUCCUUCCAUCAAUUAUUUUCCUCAGUUCAAUUUGCAACCUAUCCAUCACAUUGUAGUUUGGUUCUUUCUUCCCCACACAAACUAUGAUAUCUUUUACUAUUUUUAUCAUGUCAAAGUCAUUAGAGACACAAACCCACAUUUUCAAGUCAAAAUGUUUACUGAUAAUCUCAUCAUUAUACACAAAUUUAGCAAGAGCUGUUUUUCCAAGCCCACCAAUACCAACUAUUGGAAGGAUAGAAACGUUCUCUUUCACAUCCAUAUCCAAUAAGAAUUUCAUGACAUUCUUUUUAUCAUUACCUCUUCCAAUAAUGUCUUCCUCACAUAUAAACGAAUGCGUCUCCUCUCUCUUCCUCCGCCCUCUCUUUGCUUGCGAAUUCAUAGGUCCCUUGUCCAAGUGGAAGUUCUUUUCAGCCUCAAUAUCUUUCAAUCUCUCCCUCACUUCUGUUAUUUUUCUACUCAUCUUCAGUUCAAAAGCAAGCUGGUUUGAACUUGAGAAAAAUGUUCUUACCACCUUGAUCAUCUGAUUGUCGCCCCUCAGUUCUCGUCGCAUAGCUUCUAUAUUAAAUUCUUCAAGCACGUCCUGCAAGUCAUAGAAAGCCUCUUUUAGUUUCUCCACCCAAUCUUUGAUUUGGGAACUCUGGUGUUGUUGCUCUUCUGCAUCGUCCAGCACAGAAUGAAGCAUGGUGACGUAGCUCUCGAGCGCCUGAAGUUCACGCUUGAUGCCCCCAAAAUUUCCAACCUUUCCCGGUGCUUGAGUAAUCAGAUUGGCAAGGACGCUUCCACCAAUGCUGAUGACAGCUUCUGCCAUAUUUGUUCUCUCUAUCUCUCUUUCUCUAUGGGGUUGAGAAGAUUUUAGUCCUGUUGUUCCAAGGCUAGAGUCUUCUUAGAUGAUGUAUAAAAAGUCUAUCCUUGAGAUUAAAUAAGUGUACAAUAAAAGUAGAUAAUAGAAAAUAUUUAACUGACAAACAGUAAUUCCAAAGCAUCCUAUGUCAUGUAAGAUUCCAUCCCAUCUGAUAAGUAAGGCGAGUUCCUAUUCAUACAUUCUUCUAGAAACAUUAUGUUAGAUUAUAUUAGAUUGAUUUAAGUUUUUUUUUUCUACCAUACUGUUAAGUAAUAUGUCUAAUUAACAUUAAGGAAAUUGGGAGGUAAUUGAGUGAUGAUGUGGUUCGACCGUUAAGCUCCAUUUUGCUGGACUUUCUUCUUAGUUUGGUUUUAAUAUAUGAUGCGUAAUAAAUUAAAACGAAACAAUGUAAUCACAAUGAUCAGAGGCUUUUUAAAAAAUAAAAAUAACUUUGUGUUUUCUUGUAUAAAAUUCAAAAUGUUAUUUAAAUAUAAAAAGUUAUGAUUCAAAUUACAUAUUAAUGCUUACGUGUUGUGAAAAUUUAAUAUGUUUAAAGACAAGAUAAUGUCAAAUGUAGACCGAGACAACAUUAGAAUAAACAAAAAUAAAAUGUAAAAAUCUAUCAAGACAAGCCAUUAGCUAAGUUGGUGAUGUUCUUGAAAUCCGCUAGAGGUGGUGGACCAUGUCAUUGUCCUUUGUACUUGUCAUCUUUUCUUUUUUUCCUUACUUUUCUCUUUUAGGCGAACAGAAAGUGUAAGGUAAUAGGAUGUUGAAGCAAAGCCAUAAUUUUUCACUUCAUUGGCCGACAAAUGAGAAUCAAAAUCCACUUACGAGGGCUACACUACAUCCACCACAAUCUGCUCAAGCCUGGAAACCAUCUCAUUGCAGCUUAGAAAGUUAUUAUAGCUGUCUCGAUAUGGGCAGCAGCAUAGGGAAUGCCCCGAUGGAUGACCACUCUCUAGUGUUCAGUGGACAAGAUCAGCUUAUGCUCGGUGAUAAAAUGUUGUACUUUGCAAGACCGUACGUGUUAGAGAACAAGACAAAUGAAGAUAUUGAGUCUUAAGGUCUAGCGUCCCUGUCAAUUUGUGCACAAUCUCUUUUGAACUCUUUACCAAGCCCCUUUUCUUAUUUUGAACUCAAGUUCUUCUAAAUCACAUCCAACAAGUUAGAUAAAUGUGUUCCAAUAUAUGACCUAUUCCGCAUGAGUCUUAACAUGAUACUAAAUAUUUCACGAAACAUUUGGCAAGAUACUUGAGAUCUUUAAUAAGGAUAGUGGUGUUGCACGUUCCUAUUCACUUAUAAUUACAAUUAGUUGUUGUAUUUGGUCACUCCCCCUUCCAUGUUAGUUGCAUGUUCAUAAUUUCUAUAGAUGCCGAAUCAAUUAUAUUUAAUUCCAUUUCUUUCUAACCGCCCCUUGCUCUACCAGGAUUUUCAAAAGAAAUCAUGUGACUCUUCGUAUGUACGUAGCGAGUAAUUUUUCAUGUGACCAGUAACUUUUUACAAGAUAUUCGACUUCCAAUAAGUACUCACCUAUUUACAUUAUUACUAAUUUUUUACAUAAAAGGCAACCUAUCUACAAUGAUUCUUAUCGUCCCAUGUAUUUUAAAAAAAGGACAAGUUUGAAAAAAAAAAAUUGAUGCUUUUUGCAAUGUAACAGUAAAUCUUAAUUUGUAAGACCAAAAAUUUACAUAAAGUUUGUGACCAUUCAUGGGACAGUAAGUUUUGCUUUAAAAAAGUAAUUACCACCGACCCUGUUUAAUAAAAGAAAAUAUAGGAAUUGACAAACAAUAUUUAGGCCGCCCACGGGUCUAGAAAGUGAAAAUUAAAGUUUUUUUUUUUCCUCAGCAGCUGUAAAUGAAAAUUUCUCCCAAGGGGGCUAAAGAACAAAUGAGCCCGGCUUUUUUCUGAUGAUGCCCAUUUUCCUCGUUUCAUCACAUGCUUUCCUUAGAAAACAGUGCACGUUCAUACUCUAAUAAUUUUUUCUUUUUUAAUUUAAAGAAUAUUAAUAUUCUUUAAAUAAUUUGAUAUUCGCUCUAUUUUCAUUUUCUUUUUUGGGGAUAGAGGGACUUGAACCCUCACGAUUUUUAAAGUCGACGGAUUUUCCUCUUACUCUAAAUUUCAUUGUUGUCAGUAUUGACCAAUCAGUUUCGCUACAGCACCCGCUGCUCUAGCUAAUUGUCCAAAGGGGAUCCUAUCAACUUGUUCCGACCUAGGAUAAAUAUUUCCCAACUGUUCUGGUCCAUUUACGGUUAUUGCUUUUGUGAACAUAGUAGCUAAAUAAUCCCAACGUGUCAUCCUCUAGAUAAUUCAAAUCGAAGCAAUUGGAUGUACAAAAAUAGGAAAUUAACUUCUCAUUUUUUUCUGACAGAUAAAAAAAAAAAGUAAAUAUAAGCAAGACUUUUACCCCAAGAUUGGUUGAUUAGUCAUCUUGGCUUGUUUUAGCUAUUUUUCUUUAUUUGUUUCAUAUUGUAAAUGUAUUAUCGCACCUUCCAGUACGGUUACCUUGUUACGACUUCAUACUUGAACAAAUAAAAAUUGGGAAAGUUUAAAUUGCGCAAUUGUUUACAGUUCCGGUUCACAUGCAUGCCCCAGUUGUUUUGUAGUAAACACCGGAGCAUUAAAAAUAGUAGAACUUGGAUCUUGAGAAGCCGGAAAAUUAUCAUAGCUGCGGGGGCAACUUAAAAUCUAACUUCACAUGGUAAAAAAAAAUUAUGUGAAUGAAUUUCCACUUUUGUCCGAAUAAAAAACUGAAGAAAAGAUUAUGAAGUAUAAAUUGUGAAUGAAGUAGUUUGAAACCUUUGUGUGCAAAAAAGAAAUUGCAGAUUGGUACAGAAGUACCAUGUGCGGUGGGAUAACAAAAAAGCAAGCUGAUGAGGAUGCUUUUCGAAUUUAGAUUUUAAUAUGCGGAAUGGUAGAAGGGCUCUUAAAGUUGGCUAAUCUUCUCUUGUGAAUUCCAUUUAAAAUUGGAAAUUGGUACAUCUUACAUCUUCUUAUGUGCCCAAUUUGAAGAAGGCUAAAUAUCCUAAAUAUGUAAAUAUUUACGCCAUAUAAGUCAUAUUUUUAAAUCCAAAUAAAAGACGUCGAUAGUUUUCCUAAACAUUCUUUGUUUCAUCAAUCUAUUCAUUUUCAGAAAAGCUCUCUGGUUAGUCGCUAUAAGAAAGAACGAACCUGGCUAAUAGUGGGCUGAUCGACGGCCGACCAACAAAAGCAAGGCCCCAACCGGCCAGAUCAAGAGAGGAGGACAGGAGACGGUGUCGGCAAGAUCAACAGAGAGAUGAGAUGAGACGGCAUGGGCAAAGACUCCAGGAAUGGAGAGAUCAAGGGCACUGCUGGGGAAAGUCAGAGAUACGAAGAGUCUGAGAGAGGCUAGCUAUGGGAGUGAGAACUAAAAGAGAGUAGCGAGGGUCUUUAAAUAGAAAAGAUUGAGCACUAUUUUGAACUGUUCCAAACCAGUUCUUCCAAAGGCUGGUUCCCAAGAUUUUUUCAUGAGAGCUAAUCGAAAGUUGUUGAGGUCAGUGAAUCUGAAACGUUGCAGCACGUGGCAGAGCGUGACGUGCAGCAGCGAACGGGGCUGAAAUUUCAGGGCCUAUCACUUUGGAGGAUGGUGAGUUUGAUGAUGGCAUCGAUUUUGUGAAAAAAACAGCAGAAGGGGGGCGUAAUGACACUCUAUAGGACGGGUUUGACCAAAUACGGACACCGGCAGAGCUGAUGUAAUAUUGCAACCACCGCUAUAGAUUAAAGACUUAUGCUUUGUUCGUUUUGCGGAAAAUAAUUUUCAGAGACAUAUUUUCCGAAAUUUCCGGUGUUCGGGUGGACGAAAAAUACACGGUCAAAGAAAACAUUUUCCGGUCAACGGAAAAUCCCCUCUUAAUCUUGGAAAAUGAUUUCCUGUUUUAAAAAGAGGAAAUCAUUUUCCCGGCCUCUCGCACGAGCUCUCUCGCACGAGCUCUCGCGCUCACUCUCGCGCUGCUUUUUUCCUUCCUCAUUUCUGCACUCUCUCACAAAACCUUAGGGUUUCUGAUCUCCUCCUCCUCGUUCGACACCGACGAUCGGUGAAGCAUCCCUCAUUCACAAAUGUCCUCCUCCCUUCAGUUCUCUCUCUCUCCCUCUCUCUCUCCCUGCUGCAAUGGCUUCGACGACGUCCUUCUCCGGGAUCAGCCUCUGCCCUCCCCGGCCGCUCCUGCCCACUUGCUCCAGCUGGGGCGCUGCCGCCACCGCCGCCGCGCUCCGCUUCCCCGGUGGCUCGAAGCCGCUCGGGAGGAUCCGGCUCAAGAGGGAGCACCGCGGCGGCGCCGGGAGGCUCGCGGGGAGCCCGCCGUCCAGGCUGCUCGCCGUGCGGUGCGAGGCUUCUGGUGGACGGGUGAUUGCCCCCGAUUCAUUUUCUUGUUAUUUUUUUUUUAGCGCUCCACGUGCUUGCUCGUGUGUUCGUUCGUUGCUCUGUUUUGGGGAUUUGGUUAUGCUUAUUUGGGGUGAUGCGAUGAGGUUGCGUGCGUCCAGGCUUGGUGCUAGUAGUGUUCUGUGUUCGAGUGCGUUGGAUUUUUCUUGCCAAGUUGUCAUUUUUUUCGAUAAUCCUGAAUUGUGCAAAUAUGUUGAUUGAUUGCUAGUGUGGUUGCCGUACUGCUAAAUUAGGCUGUGCAUAGACGAAGAGUGAGCUGCUAAAUGGAUGAAUGUGUAUAUGCAGCUUCUUUGGGGGUGGUGUUUGUAAUAUGUAUAAUCAGAUUUGUCCACUUGAACCCAAUAAAUUAUUGAUUUUGUAGCUUUGUCAAAUGACAGAUCACACAGCAAGAAUUUACAGAGAUGGCCUGGCAAGGGAUUGUUUCCUCUCCAGAUAUUGCGAAGGAGAAUAAACAUCAAAUAGUGGAGACUGAGCACUUGAUGAAGGCUUUGUUGGAGCAAAAUAAUGGGCUUGCCCGGCGGAUCUUCUCCAAGGCUGCAGUUGACAAUACCCGUCUUCUGGAGGCUACUGAUAAGUUCAUCCAACGGCAACCAAAGGUAUCUCUACUGAAUGACAAUGUCUUAAUGAGCAUCUCUUUUCAAUCAAUGGGUUAUUACAGCUAGAUGUUGCUAUUUUCUUUUACGAAUCGAUUAAACAUUUUCAGCAUGGGCAUUGCCUCUUGAGACCGAGUUCUUAAUUGAAGAAUAGAGGAUUUAACAUCACUUGAUGUUCUCAGCCAUUUAAAGGAUUCAAGCCCCACAAACGAUGUUCAAGAGAAUUACCUAAGUGCUGAAAUCUUAAAAAAUGUUUUCAGGUAGAAAAUAUUUUCCUUACCGAACACUGGAAAACAUUUUCCGAAAUAUUUUCAAGUUUUAGCCAAACACCGGAAAAUGACUUCAUGGAAAAUGUUUUCCGGAAAUGGCCCAUUUUUCGUGAAACGAACGGACCCUUAAUGGCGCUUCAUCAAUUUAUAAUCUCUCUAGUACCAUGAUAAGAAUAACAUGAAGAGAGAAAAUGGGGGAACAACUGUAUAUUUUUACGUAUUGAUAAACAAUACAUGAGACUUUAUUAGAUAACUAUUUAAAGUAAUAAGAUAAAUAUAAUGCCACAUAUAAUUAAUCAAGGAUAUACAUUAUUGAGGGAGAUAUAUGUAUAAUCCUGAAAAAUAUGCAAAAUUAAGUAAAUAUCCAAAUAUCAUUAACAAUUAGAAUGGGGGUUUUACAUACUAUAUACUAAAAAACAAAUGUUAAUUUGUUAAGGGCGGUGCUAUUUCCACCCCCUAAAUAACUUUAUCCAACCCCAUUUAUACUAAAAAGACAACAUUGUUCUCAAUCUUUCAGUUGCAGUUUAUAUUGAUGGCCCCUUUCCUUUUCUAUUUAGGAUAAUUACGAUAAUUAAACAUUUGAAUGUUUUGUUUUGCUUUUUAGUGUAUUAAAGCAAAGUGCAUUAUCAAAUAUUCUUAUAACGUUUUAUAUACUCCUUGUCAAAUUAUCUCGCUAAUAGUAAAGACAUUUUUUGAUAUAGUACAAAAUUGGCUGGUGGGUAAGUUUCCUUUCGUUGGGACACAACAGCAAAUGUAUAUCUUUGCAUUGUUACUUAAAAGCACGAUUUUUCAUAUGUAGGUGUUUGGCGCUUGUUAGUCGCACAAUUUUUAAUAAUAUAUACAUAUUGAUUGAUACGUAAUUUCGUUUAUAAUUUUUUUAUAAUUUGUGUUGUUGUAGAAAAAUAAAAAAAAAUGUAUAUUUAUAUUGAUCACAUGCCCUGACUUUUCACAUGUUAUUACCGUGUAGCAUCCAAAAGUAAAAGCAAAAACGAUAUGCAUAUAUUAACUAUUCAAAUAAAUAAUAGAGUAAACCGAAAAAGUUGCAAACAUAUCUUUCAGGUGGACCCGAGGCCCGAGAUCACGAUUUGGGGUGAAGAUUCCGUUGGUAUGUGGUGAAUUUGGAGUGGACAAUUGCGUAUAAAGACAGACUGGAUGAGUGCAUAGUGGGGCCCGCAUGUAUGGAGUCAUAUUGGUACGCGGCCGACAUAGCCAUAAAGCAACUUAACUCUCCACCAUGGUCACCUAUUAACAUCACUUGGUUGUUAUUAUUAUUUUUUUUUAAAUUUCUUUUUGCGUUUUGCGCCACUUCUGUCUCCUUCUCUCCUAUGUAUUUUAAAGAUGGAGACAACUCUAGAUAUUAACCACUGGGAUUCGCCCUAGUGGCCACCCUUCCAACAUGGAAGGGGGAGGUGAGGGGUUCAAAUUCCUACCUUCUCAGGGAGGAAUGGGGUGGGGACGCGUAAGUUUCAGGAGUGAGUUUCGACUCCCACGCCCUGCAAGAGGCAGGGCAAAAGUCUGAGAUGAGUGAGUUUCGACUCCCACGCCCUGCAAGAGGCAGGGCAAAAGUCUAAGAGUGAGUGUAGAGUAGGAAUAGAGUAUGACUGACAAAAAAAAAAAAUCUAGAUAUUAAAGGCCAAAUCACCUCAAUUGUCACUCAUUAAUGGCCCACCACCUCAUUUACAUAAAACUUAAUAUAAGUACCUACCUCAUUUAUUGUGAAAGAACUCCUUAAAGAUAAUAUAAGUGCACAAUAAUAAUAGAUAAUAAAUAAUAUUUGAAUGACAAAUACCAAUUGCAAAACCUAUGUCUAUAUGUAUAUAUCGAAAAAAUAUGUAAAGUAACAUGUCUGAUUAAUGUUAAGGAAAGAAAGAAUGAAUGAAGUUUUGCAAUGAUAUAGCUCAACCAUUGAGCUCUAUUCUAUCUUACUUUCUUAUUAUAUAUAUUAGCUUAGCAAUGGUCUCUUCAGCAAUGCUCCCGAGGACAACUUUCGCCAUUUUUGUUCUCUCUCUGGAUUAGAAGAUGAUUAGUCCAGUGGUUCUAAGUCCAUAGACUUCUUAGGACAUGUACAGCAAGUCUGUGUUGAAAAUAGCAUUUCUCAUCGGCCACGCAUAAUAGAAGGUGAAGCUUAAGUCCAUAAUGCUUCUAGGACCCACCGACUUUGAUAUUUAUUUCACAGGUUGGUUUUAUCUGGUAGUUUCCGAGGCCCGGAAGCAAGGGAGAGUAGGACCAAGUUGUGAAAGCAAAUUGCCUCUCCAAGGACAAACACUUCAUUUUUUUUCCCCAAGGUUUCGUUCUAUAUAUUAAUUUUUUUAAAUGAUGGAGGUCAUUGUUUAAUUUAUUGGGAUGGAUUUUGAGGUCUGACAAAGUUGGUAACAAAAAAAAACCUAGGGCAUAUUAGUUUGCUGUGAUCCAACACCGUAAAAUGUGUGAUGUGAUUAAUUAGUAACUUAUACAUGUAGAUAUAUUGAUACAUAUGAUAUACAUGUUUGGACAGAGAUUAUUUCCAUUAAAAUAGAAAGUUUUAUAUGCAUGGAUAACACCAGAUUUGUUAACAUUCCAUUGCCAGCACUACACCUCUCAAUUCAAAACUCUCCUUCAUAUCUUCACUUGACAUUAUUGGUAUUAUUUCACUUAAACCUUACUGUUUAAGGAAGUUCCCUCUCCUUGCCAAUCUUUCAAAACUAUUUGCUUCCUAUGAAUAAAAUGCUUCUAGAUUAUUUCUUUCUUCCUUUAUUUUUUUUCAUAUUCUCUAAAUAAAUGAAUAAAACUGCUUUAAAGAUCUCUCUUCCAUUACUAGACAAUAUGAAAACUUGCACAUUUAUGUAAUGUAAAAUGAUAUAUUUAAACAUUUUAUGCAUGUCACUCUUUUUUUAUAAAUUUCAAAAGGAUUCACAUGUAGGGCAAAACAACAUACACACGAUUUUUUCUAGCAUAUACAAUAUGUACAAAAUCUUUUACUAUCUCAGUAUCCUAUUACAAUUAUAUCAGUUAGUUUAGAAUACUCUUUAGUUCAAAUUUAUAGCUUUUUCUUUAACAAUUACUAUAAGAUAAGUCAUCUUUCUUAUCUUUUGAGUCUGGCGCUUAUUUCAAUCCCCCUAAUAUAUUAUUCUUCCAUUCAAUGUACACAAUCAAAUCUUUGCCAAGUUUCCUUGUGGAUGUUUUCUAAUAGUGCUUGCAAAACUGUAAGAAUUCCUAGUUGGCCGUUAAUGACAAGUUAGUGACAUCGGACCAAGUAGACCUUGUGCGACAAUAAAAUUUGUUGAAGUGGUAUGGAUUAUUGUGACAUGACUAGAAUGUGCAAAGCAUCUUUUAACAUCCUAGAAAAAUUUGGAGUGUUAAAAAAAUUUAUGCCGCUUUCUUGCUUGAAUACUCUAAUACCUGCUUGAACUAUGCAAGAUACCCUUAACAUACUUGUGGAGCAUCUUUUGUAGUGUAGACACAUUCAUCUCUGUGUAUGCACCUAAACUAUGUGCGAACAACCAGUAGCCAUUAUCAUUCAUGGAGGAUGUGAUAGUAGUAACUCUACAUAACCUUGUGCAGCAAUGAAAUUUGUAACUCUUCCAAAAAGAACGUAACUUUCGUCUUCCCUUCCCAAGAAUAUGUUUCCCGACAAUCAUUUCGACAAGCAUUUCCCUUUUCUUUUCAUUACGGAAACAAGAAAUAUUGUUUGUCCACUGGUGCUUGUUUGGUAAUAUUCAAAGAAUUUCUUCAAUUUUUUUUGUCUCGAAAGUGAAGCAAAAGACAAAAAGAGGCAAUGGCAAAGAAACUCCAAUAAAUUCCAAGAAGACCACAACUUUUGCAGGACACAAAUUGAAGUUUCUUGCUUCGCUUUUCGCAUCCCUCCUCAUGAAUCCCCAUGAGAACGUCUCUUUUUCCAUCGCUAGUAGAACUUCCAUGCAUUAUGUUUGGAUUAAUCUCUGUUGUUUUUUCCUUUUUCAAAUUUGUCUCAAUUCGAGGCAAUUUUUAAAAAAUUGCCACAUCGUAAUGAUUUUAUUGACACAAUUUGUUUACCCUGUGAAUUGGGUGAUGUGGAGAGAGUUUGUAUUGGUUUAGAUAAUCUUAGCAUCUAAUGUCUUUAUUGAUGUGGCAACAUCUCAAGAUGCCAUAUUGAACACUUAUAUGGACAUUUAACAACUAUUUAACGGUGUUGGCAUCAUGUCAACAUUUUUCGUUUGGAACAUUAACGAAGGCCUCACAUUGACCCUCAUGAAAAAUUCAGAUAAUUGAUUGAACGAGAAAACUUUAGGUACCUAAUUGUGAAAGGGCUAAUAAUACAAGUACUUGUAAUGUCAUUGUUCCAAAGAGUUUAUCACAGAAUCAUUGGUCUAGGCACAAAUCUCAAACAUACUUUUGUUUACAGAAUAUUUGCUCCACAACUCAUCCUCUCGAUUCAUUUCUUGGUUUCCCUUUAAUAAUUUUCUUUUGUAAGAUUAUUCAUUCUUUUGUGUGAAAGAAAACAGGAGAUAGUUUUGUUAAUUUCACGCGCCAAAAGAUUUCAAUGGCUAAAUGUCAAGCACAUUGGAAGACUACAAAAUUUCUCAAUGUCGAUUUCCCUUAGAUUUUUUCCUAAUCAUUCGAUCAUAAAAAUUCAAGCUUUACACUUGAAAAUUUUUAGUGGAUUAUCAAACAUUUGAUUGAAAUUAAUUUUUUUUAGUACUUGAUUUUAGUUUAGUUGGAUAUCAUAUUAAUAGUAUUAUCAUCACAUGUAACUGUACGGGCACACUUAACUUAAAACCUUACUAUGACUUCUUUACCAAUUACAUCUAAUUUGCCUAAAUAAUAUUUUUUGUAGAUAAUUUGUUCCAACUUUUCGAGAGAUCAAUUGAUAUCAUCUGGAAUCCCCGGUUUGACCUGCAAGAGACAAAAUUGAUACCACAAAGAAUAUAUUGCAGCCCAAUAUAAGCAGUUAACGACUACUUAAUAGCAUUGAUGUCAUAUAAACAUUUUUCGUUCACGAUUCAAUGGAGGUCUCGCAUUGACCCAUAUCCGAAAUGUCGAGAUAAUUGAUUGAAUGAAAAAAACUCUAGAUACUUGAUUGCCAGUUCAUAGGUAAGAAAUUUCAUGCACCUCACGAUAUGGUUUUAUUUCAGUCAAUUUGAAUGGACGUCGCUAUUAAUUGACCAAAGCGAGGGAUGGGUGCGUGCCCGAGGAUCGAGGCGUGACAGUGAUGGCAGGAAAGAAACUAAUAUAUUCUAAAAAGACCAAGACUGUUAACGUCAUUUGAUUGUGCACGUCUUUUGAUGGUGGGAAAGAAACUUUAAUAGAUUCCAAAAAGACCAAGACUUUUGCAUGUUUGUAUGUUAUGUUGGGAUUGUCGGAUUCCCAAAAACCGGAUUCGACACUAAAUCGAACCCCUAAAACGAAUGCGGAAGACGAAGCCUGGGAAAAUCACAUAUCACCGAUCCUAAAGCACACCACGGAUUCGAGCGUACAUUGUUAACCACAGAUUAAACACCAAUGCUGAAGAUUGAGGAAGAGAAACCGAUCAUGUUCGAUUCGAUGACGUCAAUUGGCCUUGAAGGGAAGACGGUGUCGCAUUUUGCGCACUUUUGCUUUUGGAGGGAGAGAGGGAGAAGAACGUACGCUCUUUUUGCCAAAAGGUACGUUCAUCUCUCUCUGUCCUCCCUUUUAUAUGUCCCCUCAAAAAUAUAAAACAUACCUCUUCAUCGUAUCCCUUCAUCCAUGGGCCCUAAUUUUGUGGGCCGGGCUUUUAGGCCCAACAUGGGCGGACGGGCCAACUUAGGCCCAUCACCUAAAACCAUCAUCUCCCACUCGCACAUGGUGGGCUGAACAGAAUUCUCUUUUACCUCUCUUCAACAUUCAUACCGGUGAAUAAUCCGUGCGACCAGCAUACUUUAAGAGCUCGUUGCCAUACAUCUGUUAGGAAUAUAUAGCAGCUCAUAAUGGGCAUCACACUCUAAGUAGAUUUAGUAUGCAGUACCCUAGAUCGAUCGAUCACAUUUAUAUCUCUCUUGAUCUCUUUUAAACAAUGAUAUAUAUAUAUAUUGUAUUCACAAUUAUAAUUAUCCCAAAGACAGUCAUAAUUGGUUAACCAGUGAAUACAAAACUACAAUGUGAUUCUCCAAAUUCGAUCUUCCUCUUUCAUUCAAACUCUCAAUUUCAGUUCAACUUGCUUUUCUAGAAAUGUCCCAUUAGAUCGAAUCAACUCAUGACCAUUGGCAACAUCCUAAGAUAGCAAACACUAAAUAGAAAUCUUGAGAAUAAAUAAGAGUCAUAAGAGGACUAAAAAAUUGAGGAACUCUUUUCCUCAAGAGUCUCACACGACAUAAAAGUUGAGAUCAAAUUUUUGCCACUCUUAUUGGUCGUCUCAUGCAUACGUAGUAUGAAAUACGUAUUACGGUAAUAACUCCUUUCCCAUGGAGCGUAUGUCUACACCUUUAAUACCGUACAGAUGAUAGUUCAGACAUACUCAAUGUCUAACUUGAGUUCACGUAUCUACUCAUUCACAAAAUUCAUUAGAACUCACAUCUGGCAUCAUAGACAGAUAAAAUAAAAUAUGUGGGGUAUUUUACUUUCGGACAUAGUAAGUAUUAUGUCCCCAUCUUAACACUCAGUUAAGGCAACGUACGUAUUUUAAGCUUUAGCUCUCGAUUAUCACCUAGAUAAUAAGCUUAAAAACAGUCUCAUCUCUAUUUAUCACACAAUAAAUAGAGGCGAUUACCCGUGUGAGUGGGCUAAUCUUAUAUCUGUCCGACAUACUUUCUCAACUUAAAGUAAUGCACUAAGCAUUAAGAUGCAUAAAGAUCAAACAAAGAUUCAUAGGCAUUAAUGAUGAAAAAACACAAAUUCAUCAAAUGUGAACACUUCAGGGAAAUUACAAUCUAGUACAUCAGACUCUACGCAAUCCCAGAGAUUUCAUAUGGCCACAAAACACAUCUCUAUGUAUUGGUUUUGUCAUAGGAUCUGCUACCAUUCUAUGCGUAAUAUGUACUGUAAGUUCAUAUCUUUUCGCGCAAUCAAAUUUUUUUUUGAUAAAAUUAUACUAGGUAUCUAUAUGUUUGGUCUUACCAUGAUAUUUUGGAUCUUUGGUGUACGCUAUUGUUGCUUGGCUAUCACAAUUAACCAAACAAUGAAUCUGCAGCACUUCCAAUAACACCUAAAUGAUCCAAUAAUCUCUUAAGCCAAACAUCUUCUUAUAUUGCUGCUGAUAAUACCACGAACUCAGUUUCCAUUGUGGACAAGGCUAUACACUUUUGUUUCUUACUGCUCCAACAUAUGGUGCUAUUAUUCGAUAAGAAAACAAACCCAGAGGUAGAUUUUCUUUCAUCUGAAUCUCCUCCACAAUCAGCAUCAGAAUAGCCUUAGAGUCGCAGAUCCUUUCCCUAAUAACUCAGCGUAUAAUCAGCAGUCCCCUUUAAAUACCUCAGUAUUAUCUUAACGGCCUUCCAAUGUGCUGGACCUGGAUUGGAUUAGUAUCUACCCACCAUUCCAACUGCAAAAACAUAUGUCAGGUCUUGUACACAUCAUAUUGUACAUCAAGCUCCCAACAGCACUAGCAUAAGGAACAUAUUUCGUUUGUUCCUUCUCUUGUGGAGUCCUUUGACACAAUCUGUGGCUCAAUCUUUCACGUUUUGCAAUAGGAGUGUCUAUGAGUUUACAAUCCCAUAUCAUUCAUCUCAAAGUUGGAAGACAACCAACUUUUGACAGUAUUGACAAGCUCCAUAUUGCUUCCGGCAAUUAGUAUAUCAUCAACAUAUAAUGAUAUGAUCACAAAUUGAUCAUUGGAUCUUUUGAUAUAUAUAUACAAUGAUCCUCAUCUAUCAUUGUAAAAUCAUAUGUCAUUAUGGCAUUAUGAAAUCGUAUAUACCAUUGUCUUGACGACUGCUUAAGGCCAUAUAUCGACCUCAAAAGUCGACAUACCUUUUCUUCUUGGCCUUUCACUAUGAAACCAGCAGGUUGUUCCAUAUAUAUUCCUUCCUCUAAUUCUCCAUUGAGGAAAGCAGUCUUUACAUCCAUUUGAUGUAACUUAAGAUCCAUACUAACCACUAUUGCCAGAAUUAUGCGAAUAGAGGUAAAUCUCACUACAGGAGAAAAUGUUUCUUCAUAAUCAAUUCCUUCCUGUUGAUUAUACACAUUCGCCAUAAGGCGAGCCUUAUGCCUUUAUAUCAAGCCAUCAGCUUUACGCUUUAUUUUGAGAACCCACUUGUUCCCAAUAGCUUUGCGUCCUUUUGGAAGAUCAACCAGUUCCAAACUUGGUUUGACUUCAUUGACUCCAUCUCCUCUUUCAUUGCAUAAAUCCAUUUUUCCUUACUAGGGCAAUUCAGAGCCUCAUUAAUAUUUCUUGGCUCAUCCUCAUCUUGCGGAGCAAUCAUAAAAGUUUCCCCUUCAAUGUCAAAACGUCGACGGUGAAUACUUUGGUGACUUGUUCGCCGUAUGGGAGAUUGUACACUUUGUACAUCAUUCCCUAUUAUGCUCCCACUAGGAUUAGAUAAUGAUAACGUUGUCUCAUCAUGUGGUUGCAAUUGAGAAUGAGUUGAAUUCAAUUCAUCACUUCUCAUAUUACUCCCACUUGGACGAACUCCACUAAUAUCAUUAUCUUAAUCCAAUGUUUCAAAUAGGGGUAAUCUUCCCUUAUUUCGCCCUUCUUAGGAAAUUCAUCCUCUAAGAAUGUGACAUCACGUGAUUAAAAUUCAGUUAUACUCCCACUUUCAUGCUCACCUAUGAACACAUACCCUUUCGAGUGUUCGGAGUAUCUCAUUAAAAUACUCUUAUUUCCUUUAGGACCCAAUUUCCCAAACUUGUGAGAGGACUAAUGAGUAUAGGCAGCACAAACCCAUGGCUUAAGAAAACUUAAGUCCGGUUUUCUACCUGUCCAUAACUCAUAUGGAGUGGAAGUAACUGAUUUGGAAGGCACCCGAUUAAGUAUAUAGGCAGCAGUUAACAACGCAUCACUCCAAAAAGUAAUAGGUAAGUUAGCAUGCGCCAUCAUGGACCUAACCAUUUCCAGUAGGGUUUUGUUUCUUCUCUCUGCAACACCAUUUGUUGAGGAGUAUAUGGAAUAGACAAUUGUCUUUCUAUUCCUUUUUCACCAUAUAAUUUUCUGAACUCAUCAGAUAAAUAUUCUCGACCUCGAUCGAAUCUCAAUGCUUAUAUUUUCUUGUCUAAUUGAUUUUCGUCCAAGUUCAUAAACCUUUUGAAACAACUUAAUACUUCAGAUUUAUGAAAAAUCAAAUAGACAUAUCCGAAUCGAGUAUAAUCAUCUAUAAAAGUGAUGAAAUAAACAGUCACAUGCUUUCCUUUCACAUUCAUUGCACCACAGACGUCAGAAUGGAUUAAAUGCAGAGGAAAUUCAGCUCUUUUACCUUUUCCAAAUAGUUUCCUUGCCGUUUUCCCUACUAGGCAAUGCUCAUAUAUGGGCAAAUCGACUUUUUCAAUGUUGCCCAACAAGCCCUCUUUGGCCAGUCUAUUCAUACGUUGUUGGCCAAUAUGACCAAGUCUAACAUGCCACACAUUCACAUCACUAUCAAAUGAAUUAGGAGAUGUGAGAAGGGAAUAACAAACAUUUGCAUUAACAUAGUCAAUAUCUAAUACUAUGAAACCAUCCAGAAAAUAACUACAAGUAUAGUAGUUUGUAUCCAAAUACAAAUCUACACCUCUAUUAUGGAAGUUCACACUAAAAACAAGCUUAACCAACACAAAAAAAAAAGACACUUAAAUUUCGACGAAUCUCCGAAGCAUAUAGAACAUCAUGUAGGAACAAGUUGCGUCCACCACGCAUGUUCAAUUGGCAGGUGCCAAUCCCUUUAACUUCAGCUCUGGAGUUGUUUCCCACAUAGAUCCAGUUAGUUCCAGUUGGUAUUCGUCGGAAUUCCACGAAGGAUCCUCUAUCCUUCGCUACAUGGUCUGUCACUCUUGAAUCUACAGUCCACAAAGGAUUGGAUUCAGCCAAUAAUGUAGAACUUGACACAUAAGCAAAGUUCUCAAAUGUACAAGAGGUGUUUACCUUAUUUGGCUCACGACAGUCGCGAGCAUAGUGACAUUUCUUGUCACAAUUGUAACACCUUACCCUUAACAUUUUCUUCACUUGAUGACGUUUUCCUCUCUUGUGUUGGUUAACUCUUGAUCUCUUGCAAUAAGGACUUGAUCCUUUGCAUUCCCACAUAUUGAACGAAUCAAUACGCUUGCGCUUAGAGCUCAAAGCUCUUUCUGAGCUAGAACCAGCAUUGCAAAUAUCUAUUUUCGGCUCACAUGCCGUUAAUCGGUCCUCUACCAGCUCAAGGUGGCGCACAGCAUCCUGAAGAUCUUCCAUAACAUGGUCAAGAGCUUCUAGUGUUUCUUGCUUUUCCAGCACAUAUUGAAUCUCCAUAUUCAAUAUUUCACAAUUGUUGCCGUUCAUAUCAACAAUUACGUUCUUAGUGCUGAAACCAUCGAUCUGAACACAUCAGACAUAUAUGCACGAAUAAUUAAUGCCUAUCAUUUAUGCAUCCACUUUGCACAGACUCAUCAUAUCAAUGAAUAAUUUCAAGUAAGGUUUCAGAAUCAAAAUGUCACUACGUUUCCAAUCAUCCUCCAAAAAUCCUAACUUAAAACUAUUAUUAAUAUAAUUGUCUUUUGCAAAAUAAAUUCUAUGAAGUUACAAAAACUUCUAUGAACUACCCACAACAGUCAACAAUAACAGAAAGCAAAUAAUAUCUAACAUCCAAUAGAAUAAUAAUGCUUUCACAUAAUACAACAAUCAAUUACACUAAGUAAUAUACUCAAAGAAGAAAUAUCAACAUAGAAAGAGAUAUUCACACUUAAAAAACAUCUCAAAAUAAUCUAAGAAAUAAAUAAGGAAUGUCCCUUCUAAUCUAUCAGUCAAAAUAUCUAAGAAAUUUGUAGGCACAUUUGCCAACCAUGGAAAAACUUUUGGAGAGCUCUCAUGUCGCCUCCAAGGCGCAUUCACUCUGCGCCAUGUGGCGCUCAAUCUAAGGGUUGAAGUUUUGGUUAACUCAACCCUAUAGUACUCUCUAACAAAAGCUACCAUUAGCCUCCUAUAACCCGGGACCACGUUGACCUCCCAUAGCCGAUCUAACACUGCUUGCCAUUCAGGUGGAAGAGUGUUCAUCAAAGCCGGCACCUUCUCAAAAUUCGGCAUAAGAUAACCAUUCCAAAUGAUUUCCUAUAUCAUCUGAUUGACUCUAUAACCUGGAUCGGACGAACCCGUCGGGCCGGUCGGAUCGGGUCGGACGAACCGACCGGCAAGUGCCGCGCGCGUGCGCGGGCUGACGUCACGCAGACGUUAGCCGGCACGUGCGCGGCACGCGCCAAGCUUCCGCGCAUGUCGGGUCGCCGGUCGGGUCGCCGGCCGGUGACCGCCCGGCCAACGAUCGUCGGCGAUGACGUCAUCGAUGACGUCAUCCCAGCGGUUACCGACCGUUGGGUGACGUCACGGUGACGUCAGCACGCGUCGGUUUGCCGACCGGCGCGUGCCGGUUCACUGGCCGGCGGCGUCGCGCACGUGCCAGUCCGUCACCGGCGCGUGUGGCGCACGCGCUGGCCGAGCCAGCGUUUCAGGCGCGUGGCGCCCACGCGCAGCGGCUUCUGGCCGCGUGUGUGGGCGCGUGCGGCGUCGCCCGGCGGUGGUCGAUAUGUCGACGGACUCGUUUCGACGAGCCCUUUCACCCAAUGCCUUCAGAAAUCGAUUUCGACUUAUAGAAACUCGAAAAAAUGGACGACCAGUGCUCGAGUGUCGGGAUUUUGCGCCCCGAUCCGUGUCGGCCGAAUAUUUUCGCGAAAAAUCAAUCAUAAAACAUCAAAGGGGUCGGGAAAACAUGAACUAGAGCUCUGAUACCAAUGUUGGGAUUGUCGGAUUCCCAAAAACCGGAUUCGACACUAAAUCGAACCCCUAAAACGAAUGCGGAAGACGAAGCCCGGGAAAAUCACGUAUCACCGAUCCUAAAACAUACCUCUUCAUCGUAUCCCUCCAUGCAUGGGCCCUAAUUUUUUGGGCCGGGCUUUUAGGCCCAACAUGGGCAGACGGGCCAACUUAGGCCCAUCACCUAAAACCAUCAUGUUAGUGGGAAAGAAACUUCAAUAGAUGCCAAGAAGACGAAGACUUUGUAUGUCUUUCUUGCCAUUACCAAUAGAAUUUUUAGGCGCUACAUAUCUUGCUUAAAAUUAACAAUACCAUAAUUUUCCUCCAAUUCUUUUCAUUUUGGGAUUUUUUCAUUCAUUAAUCUCUAUUGUAUCUUUUCAAAUUUGAGUUCAACAAAUGAAAAGAAAAAAGCAAAGAGAAAAACUGACAAGAAGAAAGAGCAAAAAAGUUUAAAAAAAAAAAAAAGGAAAUAAAGAAGGAAAAGGGCAAGAUAGAACACCAUUGAAGCACGGCCACAGCGUGUUGUUGCCGUUAGCACUAUCACUUUGGUGACUAUUUCCAACUUCGCUACCUUAUAAGUUACAAUGACCUUCGUAGACAAUAUUUUUCUUGAGAUGUUUUUCUUAGAGUGGGUCAGAAGUUGAGGAUAAUGACAUCAAAACUAUCAAAACUUUCGCUUAUUUUACAAUAGAGUACCUAAACUUUUCUUUUUUCAAUCAAGUAUCUCACUUUUUCAAAUUUGAUACAAUUUGAGGCAUUCACUAAAUGAAUCAUCAUGUCAUAUGAUUUUGGUUACAUGAUUCGCUCACCUUGCAUAUUGAGUAAUGUGGAAAGAAAAAAUAUUGACUUAGAUAAUCGUAGUGUCUUAUAUAUCCCGGCCGAUGUGGCAUCAAAUCAAGAUAUUGUAGAAAACACUAAUGGGCAAUUAACGACUAUUUAACAACAUUAGUAUGAUAUCAACAUUUUUUGUUAGUGAUUUAAUAGAGGACUUAACCUAUAUUUGGAAAAUUGAGGUAAUUGACUGAAUGAACUAAAAUUUUGGUAUGAUUAAAAAAAGGGUAAUAAUUUGGAUACAUGUGCGUCAUUAUCCAAUAAUUUAUCUUUUUUUUACGUGAUAUUCAUGUGAAAGAGAAUAUUAAAUAGUUUUGUCAAUUUCAAGCCAUUGCAAAAUGAUUUUAGUGGCUAUAUGUCAAGCCCAUUUGGAGACUAUAACGUUCUCAAUGUUGAUUUCCUUUAUAUUUUCUGCAAUCAUUCGAUCAUAAACCAUUCCUGCCCCUUUUUCUUGGCCAAUUCCACUGCUUUCCCUUUCAUCUAUUCACCCAAAACUCAAAAAGUAUGUGUAGUUUGGCCUAAAUCAGUUUGAACCAAUUUGAAAAUGUACCGAUUUUCAAAAUUGGAUUUGCCUAGUUUUAGAAUCUCACGGGUAUAGAACUGGGCUUUUGGCUACUGUUGCACAUGGAGGGACUCAAGCACUCAAUUCCACGGAUCACCGGCAUUUUACUUUACCACCAUGACCGAACGAUUCAUGUGUUCAUGGGCAAUUGACAGCAUUACAUAUCUAUAAUCGUUUGCUUCGGACACAAUCACCGAUUCACUUCUAGUCCAAUCGUUAGGACCGCAAACUGGCAACCUAACUGGUUCUCCGACUGGCCUAAGUUUGAAAACAUUGGUGCCAAGUUCCUAUCCCUUCUUAAAACAAGUAGAUAAUGACCAUUUUAUAUGAAUUGAGUUGUAAUUGACGCAAUACUUUUGCCACAUGAUGAAAGAUGAUAGCUAAGUGAUUAUAACUAAUAAACGUUGAUGCUCCUCUUUCUCCUUGAUUAUAUUAGACUUGGAAAUUCUUUGUAUUGCUCCAAAUGAGGUUGAUGCUCAACUUCCAUCGUACAUUACUCCUGAUGUUGCUCUAGUUGGAGCUAUGACUAAUGCUUGACCUUUCCCUUAAAAAUUUCGUAUUCAACAGUAAGUCUUUGCUUUGGCAUCGUACAGACUUCAAUUUAAGAUGCUAAUAAAUCUUAGUCAAGAGGGAAAAAAAUUUAACAUCUACCACUCUUAGGAACCUUAUAUGCUAUUAGGAACUUUGUCGAGCACGGCAUGCUAUCGAGAGGUCGUAGUACUUUGUUAGGCUUAAGAAGAGAUCUAAUCUCCCCAAUCAAAAGAAAUGAAAUCUAUCCACCAUUGGAUUUUGUUAUAAAGCAAAAAACCAGAAAAUGAUGCAGUGCAAUAUAUUUAGCUACAUAGUAGCAGUUUGAUUUGUCACAUGCAGUUUUUGGAUAUCAUGGUUUUUAUGAGCAUGAGAAGUAAACUAGUCACAACAUUUGGAAGCAAAUUACUCAGUAUCAUCUCCAGUGAGUUUGCUAAGAAUUUUCUUUUGAUAAGCAAAAGAAAUUUAUUGCACAAUGAUGUCAAGCAUAUGCUAGCCCAUGUAACAAAUUAUAAACGCAGUUCAUGCUAUGAGGUAUAAGAAAGAAUGCACAUUAGUGUUGACACCUAAAUUUUGGCGACCCGUUUUGUCAUUUAUUGCAUUAAAAAAUUAGGGGUUAAUUUUAUCCCCGAAAAAAUAGUCAAUUGUAUAGCAUAUAGAUUUAAGUGCAUUUGCAUUUUUUGCAUUUGUUUAUUGGACCGGUGGCGGAUGAGUUCGAAUUAGUGGUUUUGAGCUUUAAAUUGAUAGGCUGGACUAAGCCCACGAAGGGAACAAAUUGGCCCAAGCCCUUUUUUUUAUGAUCGAAAAUGAUCUCGUGAAAAAUAGAGAUUUGAAAUUUUUCCAGGAUAUGUUGGGGGAUUUUUCAAUAUCUUCGGAUAGGGCAAGUGCGACAAAAAUAUUGGGAGCUCAUCUUUAAAAUAUUCAGAAUCCGAGAAAAUUUUAUUACGAUCCCGAACUUUGGGCAAUGUUCGAUCAAUUGUGAGUUGGUAUUUGGAAAGAAAAGAAUUGUUUUUGUUGAUCUUGUGAUUAUAAAUGUGCGGACAAAAACAUCAAAAAGGGCAAGAAGGAUUAGCAUUAUUAAAAUAUAUAUUCAAUGAGGAUAUAUGGAUCCGCAAUGCGUACAAAGGAAAUAUAAACCCUCACAAAAGAGGGAAGUCAGUACGUGGACUUCUUUCCUAUAUUCAAAUUUCCCUUUUUGAAGUUCAUAUUCGGCCAGUAUAAAAAGCGUAAUGUUCGAGGAAAAAAGGGGAGGCCACACAAUUGAGAUACACGGCCAUAGGAGAGAACACACGCUAGAGAGAAUAAAAGGGAGAAAUCAUGGGGUUCGGCAAUUCAUUUGAGCGAUACACGUAAGAAGAAAGAGAGAGAGAGAGUCCACGGCCGAGUACUUCGCGUCCAAAAAUCUCAAGGCUGUGCGUCCACCGAUCCUCACCACCGUCAUUAGAAUCCUCACUGUCACUCACUGCUGCCUUCCGAAGUUGAGAAGUUGCUGCCUCGCUGAAGAUCUCCGAGCACUUUCUGUCGCAACUGAUCGUGAGUGAUACGUGCAUGGUGGUGUUCACUUCAACAACACACCCUCAUGGUCAAAGUUUGAUAAUCAAGGAGGUUUAUCACAAGACCUGCAGAAUUCGCAAAGAACUUGGGAACUAGCCAAGUUUGUCAUUGGUCAAAGUCUCCCUAGCGUCCUUUGCUACCUUGCCGAGAAGCCCUGCACAGCUACGUCAUCUCCAUACGAAUAAAGCUCGGGCCCAACUAACGCGAUGGCUGAUGCUGCUCCCUGUCCGAGACCUUGACAUUGGAGCCCCACCGCACUGCUGUCCGAGCCCUGCCGAUGAGCUGACACUCCUAUUGAUACCGACAUCGCCUGCUUGAAGCUGCUGCCAUUGUUGCUUACGUCCACAAACCGAGAUUCAGCAAAUUCCCGACAACGCUGUUGCUCCCCCGACGUUGCAGUUUCCUCGUGUCGCUGAUCAGACGACGUUGUCAUCCAAAACCCCGUCGUGAAUAGCAAAGCCACCGUUCCCAUUCGCAUCCAAACCGAGUCGAUCCCGAAGCUCCUAUUUUUUGCAGGUUCGUUGACCGUGAGCCCACGGUCAUCCUUUACUGAGGAGCACCAUUGUGCCGAGCUUCGUUCACGCACCGCCCUCUCCCGUUGAGCGGAUUCCAUCCGGUUCAAAUUUGGUAACAUUAUUUGCAAAAUUAGGUAAUUAUCUCAUCUAAAUUUGAUUUGGAUAUUUUAUUGCCUAAUGCAUGCUUUUCAAUAUCUUACGUGCAUGUUUGAAUUAUCCGCGUGUUCCCAAUUACGAUUUAUUGCCCAAUUCGCAACCACACACGGAUUUUUUAUUCCAUCUAUAAGGCUUUAAAUGGAAUAAUUAACCACGCGGGAGUAAAAUUGAUAUUUUGAUCUUUAAGGCUUAAGAUUAAUUUAUCGAUUUUAUUAGCAAAAGAAUUAAGUUUGAAUUUCAAUUCGAAUGGUGGAUAGCGUUUUUGAUGAUCAUGGAUGGUUUGAUGUUUAUCUCUUAAUUGUUUUGUUUAUCCCGAAAAUACAAAAAAAUUGCAUUUGCAUGUCGUGUAGAAUUAUGGCAUAUUUUGUACGUCAUUGCAUAUUAGGGUUAAAUUGCACUUAGUUUAAUUUUAGGUAAUAUUUUUCUUAAUUUAUUAUAAGUUUAGGUAUUUUCUUAAAUAGAAUGCAUUUUAGGAUUAUUUGGGUUAAGAUAAUAUUUUAUUUUAAAUUAGGAUUUGGUUUAACUUAAUUCCUAAUGCAAAUUGAAUAGGAUCUUAAUCUAGCUAGAUAAUUUUCACAUUUUAUCUAAUUUCGAAUUUUAGGAAAAAGAAAAAAUGUCACAGGUUAAAUUAGUUUUAUUAUUUAGGAUAAAAUGCAUUCUUUUAGGAAAAAGGAAAAAUGUCAUAUGCACGUCAUUAGGGUUAGAUUCAUUGAGAUGCGUGUCAUUUAGUAUUUUUGCUAGGCCCAUUUAAUUAGAAAUUAUAUGUCAUUAGAAUUAGGUCAUUUAGUUAAUAUUGCAUUGCAUAUUGCAUGAUUUUCAUCAAUUAAGUAAAAACAAAAAAAAAAAUUGCGUGUUAAUUAGAAACCAUAUCUAGGGUUGUUGAUGUGGAUUUUAAUUUAACACUGCAAUGCUUUCGUUGCUUUGAGGUAAGUUUUUGCAAUUUAUUUAUUGUUUAUCUGAGUGUUAAAUUGAUGGUUUGUGCACCCGUAUGAUCACCUCACAUAUUAGGGAAAUAAAUUUAAAAUCAAUCCAAAUUGCUUGCCAAACAUUUUUUCAAAAUAAAAAGAAAGGUACCGAAAGGGCAUUAGAGGAAUAUAGUGUAACAAAGUCCCCGUACCCAUAGUCUCUGGUUCGUAGAAGUAAAGUAAAUCUUCCGUUACUUUAGUUGGGUUUCUAAUCGACCCACCAAAAAUAGAUUAGUGGCGACUCCUAAUUAAAAAUUUGCAUGUUAAGAACUUGAACCGAAAGUCGCGAAUUGGUAUGAGCUUGGGAGAGCUCGAGUUAAGUCUAGGCUUAACAAUCCAUCAACCAAACCCUAGGUGGUUCACAUCCAAAAAAUUGGUCGCGACAGCUUGGCGAUGUCGUUGUCACACAACCAAAAGCCGUGGAAAGCCAUCUAUCAUUCAAAUAAAAAAAAAUAAAAAAAAACUAGUCUUGCUAUUUUCAAAAGCUCUUGUAUUUCUUUCUUCACAAUGAAAUAGUAAGCUAUUGAAGUGAAUCAACCAUGAACACAGCCCAACAUAAACAAGGAGUAAUAAAAACUACUUACUGUUUGAUGUUGGGUUCUAAAAUCCAACAAAAGGAAGUUCUCUAGUAGAACCCAAAAACAGGAGUGUGCCAUAGAUUCACGGAUAAUUUAAACAGAAAUUACAAGACCUAUGAAACAGGCAAUUGGAUAGAAAGCAAAUGAAGGUUUGUUGCAGAAGGCAGUCAUAGACAUUGUGGACCUGAAUAUCCAUGCAUAGUGAUGAACAAGGCAUUACUGCAGGGUGAGCUUGGCAUCUAAUUUGUAACAACAAGAGAGAGAAUGUCAAUCAUCAUAGCAGCUGAGGCUGUGUUCUCCAUGAUAGCUACUACCCAAUCAUCUCUUUGACCCAACAAUUGAGAUUCAGAUGCAGGGUGGCUAGUUCAUAUUCAGAAUAGCAGAUUAGUACAGCCACACUCAUUAAGUCAGACCAAUAACUGAGAAUGAACUAGCCAUUGUAAAUAGACUGCUUCUGAUGACCUUGCUGGCAUCAAGGCGAGCUGAGAGUUGCCAAAAGCAUUAUCUGCACAUUCUUUCUGAAUCAUUGAUUUCAGGAGUUCCAGUGGCAAUUUUUAGGACUAACAAGGAAUGAGAUGGAUCAGCCCACUAUUAAUUAACUUGGUUUAUAGAUGUAAGUAGAGUUUGUCUAAUUAAAUCUGUACAAAAACUCGAAUCUUUCAACUCGUGAAGAAGAAGACUGGAAAGCAAGUUAUCUUUACAACUCGAAUAAGAACAUAUGACCUUAAAAUGAAUCAUGAGGCUUGUAUUUAUUGUCAAUUUCAUGUAUAUCCAUUAAGGAGCUAUCUCCAACUGCAAUAUCCUCCAAUUCACUGAUGGCUUCUAUUUGGUUAAGCUGCAUAGCAAUGCCUCCAUCCUCAGAGCUACCCUCUAGAAAAUCAUUAUCUUCCAUAUCUGAUGAGUCCAUAAAAGUUUCCAUCUUUUUCUUCCUCCCCAUAUAACCAAUAAGGCUUGGGACUUUUUCCUUCUAAAUAACGAGCAAACAUUUAUGGAUCAGCUCCGCACCUUCAUAAGCUCCUCUGAAGAACACACUAAACCUCUUUCCCCUCUCAGAGACAUAGAAAACGCCAUAAUGCUUCAAUAGGAGUCUCAUCAGCUUCUGAGGCAUCACAAAUUCUUGUCGAAAGUGCGCGAGGUGAUUGGUUACCAACCUUUUUUCCAUUGUGAAGCUAAGUAACUCGUGCAUUGCUGCAAUGGAUCUCUUAUUAAAUUCUUUCAAUCCAGCUUGAAGGCCACAUGCAUCAGCGUAAGGAGUCAAGUAAGACCUUUUCUGAAAGUGCUCAAUCUUCCGUCCAUAUCUACACACCUUCUUGUAACUGGCAGGAAACUUCAAGGGGAAAGAUAGGGAAAGCAACCCUGGAGUAUGAAAAGGCAAAUUAUGAUACCCCCAAUAUGGCCUUCUCCAACUCUGUGAUAGCCCAAGCAGGAUUCCACUCUAUGAGCUCGAGGUAAUCAACUUCAUCUGGAGAUUUAACCACUUUGAAGUGCUGCGGAUACUCAUGUACCCACUUGCUCCUAAAAUCAGCUGGCAAACCAGACUCUCCUGAAAUGAGCAAUUUUGUCCAGAGGAAGCCAUUUAUCGACCGACGUCAUCAACAUCCUAGUUACGUAUUCAACAGCAUGCCAGAAUGUCCCCUAAUCAAUCUCUCCUCUUCCUCUAACAAGUCUUCAGCUUCUUUAGUUAAUUCCAAACCACAAUACCCCCUUCUGAUCCUUACACAACUCAAAACAGUUUUGGUGACUUCCGAAUAAAAUCCACUCUACCGUUUGCUUGGCUAUAGAUCCAGCGAUCUCACAGGGAUUAUCGGGUUCCUUUUUCAACAUUUCCAUCAAAACCAACACCUUCGACACCACUUUUGCUUCUCAGUGGCAAUUUCGAGAUCAUGGACCCUCUUGUCCUUGUUCCUAUCUUACACUCUCUUGCUGGUGGUCAUGAAUCUACGUUGUGACCAGUUAAGUAAAAUCUCAAGACAAAAACAUUCGAGAAGAUCGCCAUAAAAGAAAACACAUGCUCCGUGUUCAUUGCCUUUUACUGAAUCACUGAGUUACAAAUUUUAAGACGUGUGCCCAAACUAGUCACGAGCAAGUUCUUAGCAAGUCAUUCCGGAUAACUCAAUUAUUCAUUAAUAUUUUCUUAAUUCUAUGAGCAAUAAGCAUGCAGUUCAAACAUAAUGCAACUAAACCAAGUAUUGACCACAAUAUGGAUCGAUUCUUUUCCUUUUUUAAGCGGAACUUAAUUCAUUCUAAUUUAAGAAAAUUAUAAGCCGAACAGGAUUAAGAUAAAUAAAAAACCAAGCUAAAAAAAAAACUGAGUUAUUUAAUGUGAAAUAAAUAAAUAAAUCAAACCAAUAUUUUCCUCUCCCUCUUUAGGAGCGUAUCUGAUAAAUUCUUAAAACAUAUUCAUUAAACCUCAGUCAAACCUCAGAAUAACGAAACUCAGUCAAACCUCUUUUUCUUAAAAGAGAAAAAAGAAAAAUAAGCUGAGAGCCAUUCCCCCCCCCCCUUCCCGCCUCUCCGAUCGUUUCCAAAAUCUGCCAAAAAAAAAAAAUUCGAAAGUUUCUCCUCCUGCGCAGAGUGAAAUUCCAUGGUCGUCGUAGAUGCUUUUGUCUCUCAGGGGAGUUUCACGAAGCUCCGCUUGAUUUCACCUCAUGUCCUUUUCCGCGGGCACGAUCGCCGGCGAUGGUGAUUCUGAGUUUCGUCUUGUGUUCGCUCGUUGAUGUUCAGAGCCAAAGAGCAGAAGAUCGUGGAACGAGAGGACGUCGACGACGGAGCAGAAGACCUGCUCGAAACGAUCGACAAACAAACGUGAGUUACGGCAAAAACAGAGUGGAGGCAACUCCUCUCUGUUCAUAAUGCGUUUUCGUAAUGCGUUUCGGUGGCAUCCUUUGAUUCUGAGAUGAUUAUCGUGAUUUUCUGAUCCGUGUUCCGAAAGUUAAAAUUGAGAUGCAAAUGGUUCGAUGAAGCUGUGGCCGUGAUUAUCGUGAUUUACAUCUCGAGCUUUCUCUCGAACUUGCUGUGAUUUCCUGCGCGUGCAGUGGUUUUCACUUUUCAGUUUUUGUCUCCUGACCAUACAAGAGCAAUUCCAGCCUUCCUUAUGUUACGUGACCUUGGAAUUGCACCAUCGUACGUCUUAUUUUCCAUGUAUUCGUGACAUAGCUGGAUUAAUAACGAAUGUCCCAAGCUUAAUUCAUCGAUAAAGACUGUUGGAACGCUAGAUUGUCAUUGAUCAUUUAGGAAAUGCUUUUGUCCUGUCAUUCUACAUUCACCAGAAAACAUAGAGUUUAACACGAUGGUUAAGCUCGAGUCUUCGUUGAAGGACGAUUCUGAUUCGCUCAAAUCCAGCAAAGUGAAGAAUAAUGUGGAGAGAAUCGACAACUGGAAGCCAAGCCCUCGAUAAGCUUUUAGGCGGUAACAGACUUUCUUUUGCAGACUGUGUGUCUUUUUCUCCAUGCAUUUCAACGAAAACAAAUUUCACCGGUUUGGCAAUCUUGACAGGUGGUAUUGAAACUCUGGCAAGUACGGAAGCAUUUGGCGAACCUGGGUGAAAAUCACAGUCCAACAACGUUACCUUUGAUGAACUUUUAGUUGUUUUUGUUAAUUAGCUUUCUCAGAAAAAUGCUGCGGACGUCACUUCAGGUCUGGGAAAACACAGCUUGCAUGCACCCCAUGCGUUACUUCCCGGGUUGGUCUGAAUUGGAUAUUAGGUUUCUGUCUUGAACUUCUGUUGCAUUUGUUUUUUUUUUUUUUUUUUCCUGAUGAAAAAUGCCAAAUAGUAACAUAAUGAUUGAAUUUCUAUGGAGUAUAAAGAUGUGGGUAAUCUUGGCAUCAUGAUGCGUGUAUUAGGUGAUUCUGGAAGUAUGGCACUCUCAUUUUCUGUAAUCUGCAGUCAGUAUACUGGAACGCAUGUACAGUGGCUCAAACCAAGCAGGAAAAAGGCCAGAAGAGUUUGUACUAUGUCACAACCGAGUAAAAGCCUUAAUCAUAGUCGGACUCGGACUUGGGUUGAUCAUUAGUCGAAUGUGAUGCUUGAAGAUACUCUACUUUAUUUGCAAAUCCUACAACAGUAUUUACCCCUAUUUUCAAUCAUUCUUUAUUAAUGGUUUGUGGAUUCCAUGGCUGUAAAAUAUUUUCAGCUGCCAACUCACAUGAGAGGAGGAAAUGGCAAGGUAGCUUAUAUCGACGCAAGAGGAACUUUGUAUCCUAUUAUGAUCUGUCUGUAUUUUUCUUGACCUCUUGACAAAGAUACUUGUGUUUCUGAAUCGUAUGUAAGUGCAUGUGCACUUUCUUAACUUAGUACACCUGUAGUCUUAGAUAACGUAAGCAAUGCACUUUCAAUUUUAAUCAAAUUCUAGACAUAAACACGCUCCAUGUCCGUCACUCUUUACUAAAUCACCUAGUUACAAAUUUUAGGAUGUAUGCCAAUCUAGGUUUAGCACAACCAAAUCGGUCAUGAGUAAGUGCUUGGCAAGUCAUCGUGAAUAAACUUAAUUGUCGAUUGAUAUUUUCAUGAUUUCAUGAGCAAUCAGUGCGGAGUUUGAGCACAAUGCAAUUAAACCAGGAACUGACCUCAAUGCAGAUCGAUUAUUUUCCUUUUCUAAGAAGAAAUUUAUGCGGUCCAAUUUGAGAAAAUUAUAAACCAAGCGAGACGAAGGUGAGUACAAAAUUAAACCAAAUCGAACUAAAUUAUUCAGUCCGAAAUUAAAAAUAAAUAAUAAUAAUAAAAAAAAAAAAGAGGUCAUACCCAAUUUUCUCUCAUCCUCUUUAAGAGUGGAUUUAAAAAGAUUUUAAGAAUUUAUCAGAUCCAUUAAAGCUCAAUUUAUAAUAACAAAACUCCAUCAAACGUAAGUCAGGGCAAAACAAGGGCGUAGGCAACUGCUGUCUGUUCAUCUCAUCGCUUUCAGUUUCUCGUCGAUGUUCCGGUGCGUCGUUUGAUUCUGAAGUUGAUCAUCGUGAUUUUCUGGUCUCUGUUCUCAAGUUGACUGUAUAUCUCUUUGAAUGUCGAUGUUAAGUGACUCUGAAUACUGCUAAGUGCAUGAGCUUGAUUUCGGUUUCGGUUGCUCAGUUAAGCUCGAUUUUCCUGGAACAUCACCGUGAAUCCAUUGGCGUUUUUACAUCUCGGCCUUUCUCUCGAACUUGUCGCGAUUUUCUGCGCGUACGAUAGGUUUUAGUUUUUGUCUUCUGAUCAUCCAAGAGCAAUUCAGCCUUCGUUAUGUUACGUGACAUCCGCCGGAUGUCUUUUUUCCCGUGUAUUCGUGACGUAGCUGGAUUAAUAACGAAUAUCCUAAGCUAAUUUCAUCAAUAAUAUCUGUUGGAACGCUAGAUUGUCAGUGAUGAUCUAGGAAAUGCUUUUGUCCUGACAUUCUACAUUCACCAGAAAACUUAGUUUAACGCGAUGGUUAAGCUUGAGUCUUCAUUGGAGGACAAUUCUGGUUCGCUGAAAUCCAGCAAAGUGAAGAAUAAUGUGAAGAGAAAAUGAAAGACUAAGAUCGAACAGUAUCUCGAGCGUGUAAUGCGGAAAGCUGAUAUAUCUGCCGAGGAGGAUCUGAAAUUGGAAAGGAAGCUUGCCAAGAAGCUCAAGGUGAAGGAUGGACAGCUAUGUGGGUCAGACGAUGGAAUGAAUGUGUUAUUUCAAGGAAUUCCUUCUAUUCUUGAUUCUUUUGAACAAGAAGCGCCAGGGGUAAGAGAAAAUCGUAGCGAAAUAUUUGAAGGUAAAUCUUCAGGGGAAAAAAGUGAAAUGUCCAACUAAGAGCAUAUGCAGGAUGAUGGAAAAGCUGUUUAUGUUAAGGCUGGAGCCUGUGACUCAGGAGACUAGAAACCCCUUCAUUUCAGCUCUCAAUUGAGUUCAUGAGCUCCGCAAAUUUCAAUUCAUUUCCUUUUCAUGAUGUGAUUGCCAAGAAUGAUUCUGAGUUUCCAUUUGACUCCCUCUUGAACCUGUCGUGAUUUUCUGUGCAUACGAUAGUUUAAUUUUCUUUCCUUAAAUGACGAGAAGUAAUUUCCGCUACUACUUGAAUAUGAUACGUCUAAUUCACCUUUUUGACGUAUGUCUUCUAAAUCAUACAAGAGUAAUUUGGCCUUUGUUAUGUUACGUCACAUAGUAAUUGCACCAUCAGUACAUCUAUUAUCCACGUAUUUAUGGCAUAGAUGGAUUAAUAACGAAUCUCCUAAGCUAAAUUCGUCAACAAUCACUAUUGGAACACUUGACAUUCUACAUUCACCAGAAAAUAUAGAGUUAAACACGAUGGUGGGUUGUUUUUUUUUCGUUUGCAGGUAUUUCUCAGGGAAUCCAUGCUGGAGAUGUGAAAAAAGAUACAGGAUGCGGGGAUCGACACUUGCAAAUGUCUUGAUGAUGCAUACAGAGAAGGUAUAUCUGAUAUUCAGUUCCGAAAAUUAAGCGAAGGUAUUAUUUGGCUAAGGUGAUUUCCUGUGUCUUUGUUUUGUUUUUUUGUAGCACUUAACUAGAACCAAAGGUUUAUCUGAAGCAAAAGUUGAUAAGAUAUGCGAAUCAGCUGAAAAGAUAGUGGUUAGAGCUUAAUUUCUUCUUAUCCUGAGAUGGCGCCGUAAUCAAUUGCAACUUCUAUAUGCAUCUCACAAUAACUUCUCUUUGUUUUCAUCAGAAUUCUCAUUUUAUUACGGGAAUUGAAUCUAUGCUCAGAGCAAGUUAUGCUCAGAGUAAGUCCUUAAUUCGGCAAAUUUCGAGCUAAAAUGGUUCGGAAGACCUGAAUGAGUCAUUGACCCUUGAAAUAAAGCCUGCAAAUUAACAUAUCGACUGUAGAGAACUGCACUUGCUCCAAACCCUACUUGUCUCACAGCACAAAGUACUUUCAAUGUCUUCGUUUUUUCCAGAGCAAGUCGGUUAUUUGCAUCACAACUGGAAGCCAAGCCCUCAAUGAGCUUUUAGGCAGUAAUAGACUUUCUUUUGUAGAUUGUGUAUAUCAUUCUUCAUGCGUUUCCACAAAAACAACUUUCCCUGGUUCUGCGAUGUUAAACAGGUGGUACUGAAACUCACGCAAUUACAGAAGCAUUUGGCGUAUCUCGAUGACAAGCACAGUCCAAUAACGUUACCCUUGAUGAACUUUUAGUUGCUUUUGUUAGUUGGCUUUCUCAGAAAAUGCUGCUAACGUCACUUCAGGUCUGGGAAAACACAGCUUGCACAUACCCUGUUUGUGACUGCUCAGGUUGGUCACAAUUGCAUGUUAGGUUUUCGUCGUUAACUUCUAUUUCAUGUUAUGUUUCCUAGAUGAACAACAUAAAUAGCAAGAUAAUGAUUGAAUUUCUAGUAAAGAAUAAAGCUAUGGUUAAUAUUGGCAUCGGAACAUGUUUAUUAGGUGAUUCUGGAAGUUUGGCACUCUCAUCAUCUGUAAACGGCAAUCAGCAUACUGGAACACACAAUCUAUAGUGGUUCAAACCAAGUAGGAAAAGGCCAGGAGAGCGUACUAGGUCAUAACCAAUCAGAAGCCUUAGUCAUUGUCAGACUUGGACUUGGGUUGAUCAUCAGUUGAAUGGGAUGCUUGAAGUACUCUACUAUAUAUGCAAAUCCUACAACAUUAUUUUCCCUUCUUUCCAUCACUCUUCAUUAAAGCUGAUCCCGUUCCAUGAGAUGAUAUCUUAUGGUUUGUGGAUUCCACGAUCCUAAUAAUUUUAACAGCUGCCAACUCACGUGGGAGGGGCAAAUGGCAAGGUAGCAUACCUCGCCACAGAAAAAACUUUGUAUCCUAUUAUAAUCUGUUGGUCAUUUCCUUGACCUCAACAAAGCUGCUUUUGUUUCAUACUCGGCUUAUGUCCAUGUAAGUGCAUAUGCACUUUCUUAACUUGGUACACCUGCAGUUGCCAUGAUUGAAUUGUACAAAUAGCUGAAAGAUUUGGCAUGGAUCCUGGUGCCGUCACACGUAAUGGAAGCAAUGCUUUCUACACUGGUGGCAAUCUUUUCUGGCUAAUGUACUUGCUGUAAUCUAGUCUUUCCAUGAAUUUGAAGAUCAUUUAUGCCCGUGCCUCUACUUCUAAGCAUCUGUACAACUUCCUUCUCAGUUUGGCUGCCAAAGUGUCUGAAGAACCAUUUAGGUUCCUGGUAAGACAGUGCUCAAGAAUCAAACUGCACACAUUUUGUAAGGUGUCGAUGGUUGACCUUAGCUGAGUAAUAUCUUUCAGAUUGUGGAUUCAGUGAUCGCUCUCUUUCAAGUGGAAUAUAAUGGAAGGGGAGAACUUGCAGGGCGUCAGGUCGAUUCCGAAACCAUCAAAUCAUGCGAGUUGCAAAUUUUCAGCUCAUCUAGUUUGACACUAAUAGAUUUCCAAUUGCAGCAAACAUUGGCACAAAUGCUCUCACGCUUACUUAAGAUAGCCGAGGAAUUUAAUGUGGCAGUGUACAUGACCAAUCAAGGUACCGCAUCACAUCUCUUUUCUCCCACCUAGUCAUGCAUCCUUUAAAGGAUCUUAUCCAAUUUAGCUCUUUGAUGGUUGCACACUGAAAAAUAGCAAUUUGGUGACUACACUAAGCUCAUACUAGUUCUCAUAAAUCUCAAGAACCAGCUUUUUGGUGUAAACUAGUGAUGUGCACGGUAGCUGCAGUCCAUGAGUUAAGCAAAAAAGAUAAUUUUUUUGACAACUUUUUCUUUGAUUUCUUUGUUUCAGUGGCAUCAAAGAAGCAUGCAGGUGGGCAUGUUCUGGGUCAUGCAACCACAAUUAGGUUGAUGUUUACAAAUGGCAAAGGUGAGCAGUGGGUUUGCAAGGUGUUCAAAGCCCCAGACCUACCUAAAGCUGAAGCUAUAUCCUUUUUGUCUGGAUCUUCGUCUAGCUAUACACUUUAUUGAAAUUUACCAGAUUACACUGCAGACAUUAAACGAAAUUUCUAGAAAUCUAAUAUCAAUCGGAGAGAAAGUUGAUACUAAGUCUAUAUAUGGAUAGGUGGAGACUAGAAUUUGAGCAGUAUACUUGUAGUAUACUUACAUGCGCUGCCUGUGCUAUGGAAAUAAAAUACCCAACCAUUGAUGAUGCCAUACUGCAGAUCUUCCUCUAGUUAUAUACUUCGUUGAAAUUUUUCAGACCAUGCUGCAGAUACCAAGUAAAAUAUCUGGAAGUCUAGAUCAAAAUCUGUGAGAAAGUCGAUAAUUAGUCUAAAUAGGGAUAGGUGGAUACCUGAUUUAAGCAUGAUACUCACUUUAUACUUGAUGUUGCCUGGAGAUCCAUGAACAUGUUGAAUACGAAUUUUGUCCAGAGGAAUUAAACAAAAAGAAGUAGCUGUUGAGAAUUUUCCUCAGUAGGACCGGUAUGAUAUUUUUAGCUGUGCUGUUAUGUAGAUGAUGCACAUCUAUCAAGACCAUCACUUAAUUUAAUCAAAAAAUUUAGGAAGAGCUCAUCUAUCAAUAAGAUGAGACUGAGAUAUUCAAUAUAUGUUGAACUUGACAAACACAUGUUUUUCAGAUAACACCAGGAGGCAUCACCGAUGUGAAGGACUGAAGGAGUCUCUCCAACCAGGAGGGCAGGCGAAGUGCUUUUUUUUGUUAAUCUGCAAUUUGAUAUUAGUCAUCGUAUUGACCGCAAGAGGCAUAUAAUGAGCUCCCAAGAACUUGUUCAUUUCCUUUCUCUGCAAUGGACACUUUGUCACCCUUGUCAUAGCUUGUCCCUAAGUUUCAUGUGCUCGACAACAAACCAUUCAUGAAUGACAUGAGAUACUUUCUCUAACUGUGAUGGUGACCCAAAAGAUUUGUCAACUACAAUGUCACCUUUGUGUAUCAAAUGCAAAAUAUAUCAUAAGGGUAAGGCCGAAGUAUCCUUUCUGCUUCUUCUAUUUAUGUUUAGCCAAUUGAAUGCAACUAAUACAGCCUUAUAUGCUCUUAGGAACUUAAUCGAGCAUGGCAUGUCAUUGAAAGGUCAUAGGACUUCAUAAGAGAUGUAACCAAAAGAAAAUUAUUCUGUGUCAUUUCGAAUAACCUCAAAUGAAAUGAAAUUUAUCAAUCACUGUGUUUCGUCAUAAAGAAAAAUAAAAUAAAAUUCUCCACUGCAAUAUGUUUUUAACUACACAUAAUAGCAUAUGGGUUUAAGGUCAACAGUUUGUGGAUACCAUGGUUUUUAUGAGCCCGAGAAGAAUCUAGUCACAAUAUUUAAAAACUAAUUACCCAACAUCAUCUCCAUUGAGUUCACAAUAAUUUUCUUUUGAUAAUUAAAAAAACUUUGUUGAACUUUCUUACACGAGCAAUCUGGCUUUUGUUUAUGUUACACGACAUUCAAAUCGCACCAUUGCAGUAGCUGCAGUCCUUGAGUUAAGGAAAAAGAUGAUUUUUGAUGACUUUGUCUUUGAUUUAUUUAUUUCAGUCGUAGAUGAUCUAGGCGGUGCUGUGUUCAUAUCAGACCGAAAGAAACCUGCGGGUGGGGAUGUUCUGGCUCAUUUAGACACAAUUAGGUUGAUAUUUAGGAAAGGCAAAGCUGAGCAGCGCGUCUGCAAGUUGUUUAAGGCCCCAGACCUACCGAAAGCUGAAGCCAAGUCGAUACUGAGUCUACAUAUAGAUAGGUGGAGACCUGAUUUAAGCACGGUGCUCACAGUAUACUUGAUGGUGUAUGGAGAUCCAUGAACAUGUCGAAUACAAAUUUUGUGCAGAGUAAUUAAACAAAAAGAAGUGGAUAUCCAGAAUUUUUUUAAGCAGGACUAGUAAGUUAGUUGUGCAGCCUGUGCUAUGUAGACUGCACAUCUAUCAAAACCAUAACUUACUUAUGUAAGAAAUUUUAACGAGAGCUCAUAUGUCAAUAGGGUGAGAUCGACAAGCGCACGUUUUUCAGAUAACAACAGGGGCAUAGCCGAUGAGGACUGAAGAGGUCUCUCCUACCAAGAUGGCCAGGCGAAGUGCUUUUUUAUUUUAUCUUUUGGGUUAAUCUGCAAUUUGAUUUUAGUCAUCGUAUUGAUAGGUACCUCUAUCUCCAUGUUAAGUUUGUAUUGGCAGGCAUCAAGCUCCUUUUGACAGCUUUAAAAUUGCACGAGAGGUUACCGCUUUAGCCUUAAUAUCUAACAUGCUAUCAUUGUCUGUUAUUAAAGUUCACAUGACCCUUCACAAGGUGUUGUGUAAACUUGAUUUCCAUAUGAGAACCAGCACGCUCCAAGUUAUAAUGGUUCACAUUUGUUCUCAUAUGACAAUAUCGUCCUGGUUUGAUUUACUAGUAGAGGUUCUAUGCGGAAAAUAUUACAUUGGAUAGACUUUGCAUGACGGCUAAAUGAAAUGCCAGAAAGAUAUUACUGCACAAAGCAUGAUCAGGUUCUGUAAAGGCUUGGUUUUAUAAGUACAUAUACAGCUGCAUAAAAACGAUGUGAUCUCAAACUCUCAAUAUAGAGCAACGGACCAUUAGAGCUGAAAAAAUUGUCAAUGUAUGAGAAAGGGUGACUGGGUCAUAAGCAACAGAAGGCCAUUCAAUAGCUAAUGGCCUGACCAAAAGGGGCCACAAUGCAUAUGACUCGGCAGUGCAAGGACAAGUUCACAGCACUUCCAACUCUAGGCAUACUGGACUCCUUAGUCUCUGCACCACUUCAAAUGUAGCGCUUUGUACUCAGCCCAAGCUAUUCACCCUAGGAACUGGCUUCACCUCAUUCGGUGCAUGCUCGUAACUCCUCAAACAUUUAGAGCUG